rnacentral:rRNA from 1 species
GGAGCAUGUGGUUUAAUUCGAAGCAACGCGAAGAACCUUACCAGGUCUUGACAUCCCCUGACAACCAAGAGAUUGGGCGUUCCCCCUUCGGGGGACAGGGUGACAGGUGGUGCAUGGUUGUCGUCAGCUCGUGUCGUGAGAUGUUGGGUUAAGUCCCGCAACGAGCGCAACCCUCGCCUCUAGUUGCCAGCAUUCGGUUGGGCACUCUAGAGGGACUGCCGGCGACAAGUCGGAGGAAGGUGGGGAUGACGUCAAAUCAUCAUGCCCCUUAUGACCUGGGCUACACACGUGCUACAAUGGGCGGUACAAAGGGCUGCGAACCCGCGAGGGGGAGCGAAUCCCAAAAAGCCAUUCGUAGUCCGGAUCGCAGUCUGCAACUCGACUGCGUGAAGUCGGAAUCGCUAGUAAUCGUGGAUCAGAAUGUCACGGUGAAUACGUUCCCGGGUCUU